rnacentral:lncRNA from 1 species
CCGAACUAGUCGACUUGACUUGUACUCCUAAACGGCUAAACUAGAUGCUGAAAUAGUCUUUACAAAAUAAAAUAAUGUCAGUGAUGACUCAAUUACUAUUACUUUCUUUUAAAAGAAAGUUCUCUCUCACCUGUUAAUGCCAUAACUAAUAUCUCCUCUGGCUGAAGCAUAGACUUAACCCCCAAAUAAAUCCAGGGGAAGGCCUCUCGGUUAAUCCACCC